CAGUAGCCACGGUAAUACGGAGGGUGCAAGCGUUAAUCGGAAUUACUGGGCGUAAAGCGCACGCAGGCGGUCUGUCAAGUCAGAUGUGAAAUCCCCGGGCUUAACCUGGGAACUGCAUUUGAAACUGGCAGGCUAGAGUCUUGUAGAGGGGGGUAGAAUUCCAGGUGUAGCGGUGAAAUGCGUAGAGAUCUGGAGGAAUACCGGUGGCGAAGGCGGCCCCCUGGACAAAGACUGACGCUCAGGUGCGAAAGCGUGGUGAGCAAACAGGAUUAGAGACCCCGGUAGUCCCUGUCUCUUAUAC
rnacentral:rRNA from 1 species